CCUACGGGAGGCAGCAGUAAGGAAUAUUGGUCAAUGGACGAAAGUCUGAACCAGCCAUGCCGCGUGAAGGAUGAAGGCCCUCUGGGUUGUAAACUUCUUUUAUCUGGGACGAAAAAAGCUCAUUCUUGAGCACUUGACGGUACCAGAGGAAUAAGCACCGGCUAACUCCGUGCCAGCAGCCGCGGUAAUACGGAGGGUGCAAGCGUUAUCCGGAUUCACUGGGUUUAAAGGGUGCGUAGGUGGGUCUGUAAGUCAGUGGUGAAAUCUCCGAGCUUAACUCGGAAACUGCCAUUGAUACUAUAGGUCUUGAAUCAUCUGGAGGUAAGCGGAAUAUGUCAUGUAGCGGUGAAAUGCUUAGAUAUGACAUAGAACACCAAUUGCGAAGGCAGCUUACUACGGGUGUAUUGACACUGAGGCACGAAAGCGUGGGGAUCAAACAGGAUUAGAUACCCUGGUAGUCCACGCCCUAAACGAUGGAUACUCGACAUCAGCGAUACACUNUUGGUGUNUGAGCGAAGACAUAAGUAUCCACCGUACGGAAGACGACCGCGAGUAGUAACGUACGAAGAAGUUAGACGGACGUAGAGACGNGCCGACGGACGACGACGAGGGAGGAGGG
rnacentral:rRNA from 1 species